GACCGGCGCACGGGUGAGUAACACGUACGCAACCUACCUACAUCAGGGGAAUAACCCGGAGAAAUUCGGACUAAUACCGCAUAACACAGGGGUCCCGCACGGGAAUAUUUGUUAAAGAUUUAUCGGAUGUAGAUGGGCAUGCGUUCCAUUAGGUAGUUGGUAGAGUAACGGCCUACCAAGCCCACGAUGGAUAGGGGAAACUUGAGAGGUUUGUCCCCCACACUGGAACUGAGACACGGACCAGAACUCCUACGGGAGGCAGCAGUGAGGAAUAUUGGUCAAUGGUCGAGAGACUGAACCAGCCAAAUCGCGUGAAGGAAGAACUGCCUUAUGGGUUGUAAACUUCUUUUUUACAGGAAUAAAAAGACAUUACGAGUAAUGUAUUGCAUGUACUGUAAGAAUAAGCAUUCGGCUAACUCCGUGCCAGCAGCCGCGGUAAUACGGAGGAUGCGAGCGUUAUUCCGGAUUUAUUGGGUUUAAAGGGUGCGCAGGCGGGCUUUUAAGUCAGCGGUGAAAUUUCCAGGCUCAACCUGGGCACUGCCGUUGAAACUGGGGGUCUUGAGUACAGAUGAAGUAGGCGGAAUUCGUUGUGUAGCGGUGACAUGCUUAGAUAUAACGAGGAACUCCGAUUGCGUAGGCAGCUUACUAAACUGUUACUGACGCUCAAGCACGAAAGCGUGGGGAUCGAAACAGGAUUAGAUACCCUGGUAGUCCACGCCGUAAACGAUGAUUACUAGUUGUAUGCGAUAUACCGUAUGUGACUAAGCGAAAGCGAUAAGUAUCCACCUGGGGAGUACGCUG
rnacentral:rRNA from 1 species